GGCGCGCUCUGCCCCAGCACGUUCCUGUUCACCGGUGAGCUCACCCCAGCACGUCCCUGCUCGCCGGCGCGCUCCGUCCCAGCAUGUCCCUGUUCGCCGUCGAGCUCGUCCCAGAUUCGUCCCUCGUUGUCCUACUCCUCUUAGACCAGUCGUGCCGCCGUGCCGUGCUCAGGAGAGUCCCCUCCUGUGGCGAUACAGCCAGGCCUCCUGUGCCGAACGCCGGCAGGCCGUUCCCCGCUCGGAUUCGGUAAGGAUUGAGAUCAAGAUCUCGCCGCUGGUGGAUGGCUCACCAAUGGAAUUGGAUAACGGGGCUGGAGAAACGAGUGGCCAGGGGGAUAGGGAUUUAGAUGGAGCUACAGCCUCGGCCAGGGAGAAGCUCGGCUGCUCAGGGAAGGGGUUUCUUCGUGGAGACGGAGCUAGAGGUCACAGAGGCAUAUCGUCCGCGCACCUCCUGGUCGGAGGCGACCUCGAGCGUGCCCCGCCGGCUGGUGCUCCUCCGCCACACCCAACAGUUUCCCCUCUCCCUGCGUGUGCAGGGCAACACUGACCACGAUGAUUCGGGCCUAACUGGUGUGCUAUAUCCUGUAAUCUUGUUCGCCCAGGCUAGACUGCUUGAAUCUAGAGAAUAAUCCGUGCAGCUUAUCCAGCAUCUAACGAUCUGACGGCAAAGUGGAUAUUUUUAAGUACCAACAUUUUUCUGUAAACUGACAUGUGUGAGUUUCUUUCCUAAGCUUAUCUCGAUUACCAGAAUUUACUUUUAAGCUCCGUAGCAAGUUUCCGGUUGCUGUUGAUGACUUGGUCAAGCUUUUCUUCUGGUUCAUAUUAGAUGCUUCUCGUCAACCUGUGGGUGGUCAUAUCUCAGGACAAGUUCCAGAAGAAGAUGGAUUAUACUUUGAUUGACUGUAGCAAUUCAUCUACACAUAUGUUCGAAAAAGCUAUGUGAAUUACCCAUACUUUCAGAUGUGUUCGGUUACAGAACCAGGGUGACGGAACGGAAUGGUUCCAUUCCAACGUCAUGGGAUGGUUCCAACCCCGUCUUCGGUUCAGAAAAAGUCGCGAAGGCUACUGGGCCGGAGUGCAUCAUGCCCAGUCAGCAGGCUCCGCUGCGGCUCAUGAGGAUCAAGACUGAUUUAGUGCUGUAGAGGAGAAAUUGAUUGGUUAUAUCUGUAAUUGUGUGUGUGAAGCAGGGAAGGUACAUAUGAGAAUGGGGCGGAGAGACACGCAGCCAAGCAAAAGGCACCUACGAAUUGGGUCCCGUGCACUUUCUCUGAUAUUUUGGAGUUUAUUCCUUUCCAUAAGUAUAUCAUUAUUGUAUUGGGCGAUGCUGACAAUGUAGAAGGCAUGCCGUUUGCUAAUUCUCCCUGCAAGCAUGCAAAGCUUGGUUCGCUUCCAAAUCAACAAGGAGCAUAUGAAUAAGUUUCUACAUGCUACAGAGAUAGGUCAUAUCGUACCAGAAUAUCAAAGUCUGCCUACCGCCUCUGGUAAUAAACGAGACGGUCUGGUUGGCCAACAUUGCGCCAAAAAUUUCUAGGAAGACGCUGCAAGAUGUUCAGUUCAACGGUGAAACCCUCCUUAUACAAUUGAAGAAUAUAGAUCUAUCAUGCAUAAAAGCCAAACCAUUUUAUCUUGAUGUUAUGAUCUAUAUGAAAUAGAAAUAGUAACUGAGUAAUUAUCAAAUUAUAAACCUGGAGAGGAGAUUCUUUGCACUACAAUUCAAAUGGAUCUGGUUCAGGUUAAUACCUGGAUUAUUAUUGCACUGAAUUUUUUACACUGGGAUUAUAAAAACACGAGCUGGGACUGGAUAGCUUUUUUUUUUUACGCUUUGAACAACUUGCAUCUUAACACUAUCAUGAUUUAUAGUUUGAACAACCUACAGUGCGAUCCAUCUGAUCUGAAAGGUUGGGUGGUGCGGCUGAUUCAGGUAUGCUCUAUUCAAAGAGGGAUGCUACUUAAUAGCUUUUGGAGCAAAUGUUGCAUCCUGGUUAUGAAAUGAUAUCUUUGUCAGUCAUCAAAGUACAACAACUAAAAAACAAAUUAUAAAAAUACUAUUCAUAGCAGGCUUUGCUUAUCCAAUUGUAAAUGAUACUUACAGUUGAUGUAUGAAUUCCAAAAAUGCGAGUGGUCCUGUGAACAUCCUUCAAAGCAGAAAUUGAUUCGAUUUGGCCAAAUUCAUUCAUGAGAUGAUCUGUACAAAGUAUACCAUAGUUCAGGCACUAAUGUGAUUAUUAAUACAGAUACAAGAUAGUUUGUGGUGCUAUCAGAAUCUGAAUAAUGAAAUUUUGAAACCCAAUGGUGUUACACUGCAUACAAACCUGGAAUGGUUGCCACAAAAAGGAAUUGCCUAUUAGUUGACCUACAUCGUCUAUGGUUUACAGUAUAUAAUAACUGUCUCAAAGAGCAAAUCGAAUAAUAUGUGCUAUUGGCAAUAUAACUUAUUACAUUGUUCUCUCUCAUAUGUCAGGUUGUGUUGUUUUAACGGAGCAGCAAAAAAUCAAGUUGAUAAUGUGUUGAUAUAUGUUACUACUGGAAUAUCAUCUCUCAUGUAUUAGCUUAUUGGUGAUUCCUAGAUGAUAGUGUAAAUAUGAACAAAGAUGCAACCUUGACAAUAUUGCAUAAGAGAUUCAGUUGGAACUCCGCAAAAGAAGGAUUUAGCUGGGAUUUAUGAGCACUGAUGUUAGUAUUGUAUAAAAUUGAAGUGGUCUUGACAUUCUGGAUAUUUUGGGACAUUUGAGUCGGGAGAAUAUGCUUCAAGAGGAUGCAGGAGUUUUUUCUCGAAUGAUGUGAAUAAGUUACACGAGCUUCAGGUACAGUCAGACUUUUUACGAGAUACCACACGGUAUUAUACUUUUCACAUUAUUACAGUGGCGCCAUCGAUAGUACACAUGACAAUCUCUAAUACUAUGAAGAGGGAGAUUCAUCAUUUGUCCUGCGCUGCGACCCAUGAUCCGCACUUGUAAGAAAAACCGUUGCCAAAAAAGAUCAUGGCGAAAGAACCAGUUUGCAUGUGUGUUCAUGCUAAUGUGUUUCAAUUCGAGCAUGACAAAGUAGUCAGCACGGGACAUCAUUGAGGUGUGGAAGGGUUAGGUGGAAGAGGACAGCAUCGCCACCAUACCAAGGCCGUCAGCGAGGCCAUGGCUAUGAUGCUGUACCUGCAGAGGGAGAAGGCCCAUGUGUUUGUUUCAGCGAAGGAAUCAACAUGAUAUUCGACGCCGAAGAGAAGGGUUUGAGAUUCACCACAUCUUCUCUCUGCUCGUCUACAUGCCUCAUAUGCUCAGAGUGUUCUUUGCUCAUAGAAGGUUAUAUCAUAAUUUUUAAGAGGAGAAGCGUAUUAUCGUAACAAUAGUAAUUCAUGUUCUCUGCUAGAUUGAACUAUCAAAGUGAUGAACUGUGAAAGCUAUUCUGUUUUUACUUGCAUACAGAGGAGGCUUUUUUUCACUUAUGGGUUUCUAAAAUACUACUAUUUCCAGGGCCUUUUUGAU